rnacentral:tRNA from 1 species
GCCAGAGUAGCUCAGUUGGUAGAGCGACGCACUCGUAACGCGUAGGUCCCCGGUUCAAUCCCGGGCUCUGGCU